rnacentral:rRNA from 1 species
AAUCAACGCUGGCGGCGUGCCUAACACAUGCAAGUCGAGCGCGAAAAGGGGCUUCGGCUCCUUAGUAGAGCGGCGGACGGGUGAGUAACACGUGGGUAACCUACCCUCGGGUGGGGAAUAACUUCGGGAAACCGGGGCUAAUUCCGCAUGACAUCCCAGACUCAUAAGGGUUUGGGAUCAAAGCUGGGGAUCCUUCGGGACCUGGCGCCUGAGUGAGGGGCCCGCGGCCGAUUAGCUUGUUGGUAAGGUAAUGGCUUACCAAGGCUUCGAUCGGUAGCCGGCCUGAGAGGGCGGACGGCCACACUGGGACUGAGACACGGCCCAGACUCCUACGGGAGGCAGCAGUGGGGAAUUUUUGUCAAUGGGGGAAACCCUGAACAAGCAACGCCGUGUGGAGGAUGAAGGCCUUCGGGUCGUAAACUCCUGUCAGAGGGGACGAAAGCGGUUAGGGUUAAUACCCCUAGCUGUUGACGGUACCCUACGAGGAAGCCCCGGCUAACUCCGUG